GGGGAUCGUUUGCGCAGGCGCAGUUAGCCCGGCUCGAGCAGCAGCGGUAGCGGCGGCUCUGCCUGGGAUUUUUGGGGGGGGCGGGGAGAUAGAGAGAGAGGUUGUUUCGCUCGCUUUGUGCUGGCGGCGCUCGGCCUUUCCACAAUUCACCAUGUCCGGCAGGUCGGUGCGGGCCGAGACCAGGAGCAGGGCCAAGGAUGACAUCAAACGGGUUAUGGCAGCUAUCGAAAAAGUACGGAAAUGGGAGAAGAAAUGGGUAACUGUUGGUGAUACAUCACUAAGAAUCUACAAGUGGGUGCCUGUAACAGAACCUAAAGUUGAUGAUAAGAACAAGAAUAAAAAAAAGGGGAAAGAUGAUAAAUGUGGCUCUGAAGUGACAACUCCAGAAAACAGUUCCUCGCCAGGCAUGAUGGAUAUUCAAGAUGAGAACAGUAAUCAGAGUUCCAUAGCAGAUGCUUCUCCAAUGAAGCAGGAGAACAGCAGCAAUCCAAGUCCUGCACCAGAGCAGAAUUUAAUAAUCCAACCAGAGGGUGCUGAAACUGGGACUGAGGAGGUUCAGCCCCCUAUCAAAGAACGGCCCAGCUCUGACGCUGUCCUUCAUCUGGGAGGACGGGACCGUCUGGGUAGCAGACUUCUUCAGAGGCACCAUGGAAGCUCCUCCAUGUCUACCAAUAAGAGACACAUCACCACCAGCAGAGCCAAAUUCCCAAACUCCCCCAGAAUUAUCUCCAACUGAUUUAGAGAAAUCAGAUAUGCAGCCAUUGGGAGUAAAAGAGAACACAGAGACUACCAAAGAUACUCAGGAAUCUGAAGAUGGGGAACCACUUCCAAAAAAGAUCAGAACAGAAACCUCUCAGCAGAGUGCUGAGGAGAGUUAGGCUGUCCAGAAACUCUGGGGUCACUUUCCAUGAAAAGGUACAUCAACAGGCCUCAAUUCAGACCGACCUUCUAGAAACUUUCACACAUUAUUGAACAUGGAGGAACCACUGACCACAAACGAUUGUUGGGUCAUAAUCCAAGAAAAUUUGGGAAGACUGGACAGACAUGAUGCUGACUAAUUUCUCCUGUGAAUACACAUUCUAGUGAUUUAUAUAUUUAAAUUACUUUCACUGUUAAAGUUGGGUGGGGUGGGUAGAAGAAAUGGACUCAGGAGGGUUUACGCACUGGUAGUUUAUAAAACUUGUCAAGAUCACAUGUUUUUUGCUGCUGUAUUUCAUUUCUUUUAUUUAUGUUGUAAAAUAUUUAAUGAUGGUACAGGUCAGAAUUUGUAUACAUGUGAAAUCCAUUAUUCAUGCCAUUUUAAUUCCAUUUUUUGUGCCUGUUUUUUUUUAAAAAAAAACAAUGACCACUAUCUUACAGAAAGUGCCCUUUGUUUGUCUAGAAAGUAGUAAGAUUCUGUUGUGAUCAUGUUUAAUUAGUGUAAUGAAGUCUGAGCUAUUGGUCCUUUUCGUGUUUAGCUUUGUAACUAAAACACUCGACAAGUAUCUAAAAUAGAAUCUGUUUCCUUGAAUACAGCCAUGUACAAUAGGUUAUUCCAUUCAUUUACUAAUGGGAGAAAAUAUGGAUUUCUGGAUAUGUUAGACUUGUUUAGUUGAAAAUAAGUUUCUACACAAAUGGUAUCUAUAGUGGAUGUGUGAUUGUAUUCAACUUAUAGGCUAACCAGGAAUCUGGAUGUAAAAUGAAACUUUCAAAUAGUGAAUAGGAUACAGCCAGGAUACUGUUCAGAAUUUAAAAAUAAUUGAUGAGCUGUCCUAAUGCUUUGGUGAACUAAUCUGAUGAGUUGUUUCCUGGAGGUCCAAGAUUAUAUGUCUCUUCCAAAAGUGUCCAACUGAAUCUGUGCUGCUGUGAAGGACAAUUGAGAUUGUCCUUAGUCUACAGCAGAUUUUAGUGGUGCUUAUGUAAGCCUGAGAGUAAGUGUGUCUUUGGAUGAUGCAUGUUGUGGGAUGUAAAGAAAGUAUUAAUACUGUACCUUAGUUUGCAUCUUCUGGAAAAAAAAGUAUUUAAAUUCUUCUGUAGGCCAUGCUUUGUUUGAUCAGCUAAUGCAAACAAACCUACUGAGUUUCUUCAGUAGUGAAGAAAACUUGAAUGAAGGUGAUGAGGGUAUUAAAUUUAUUUUGGCGAUUGUUACAUUUUGAAGUAAAAAAAUAAUUUGCAAGUGGGUCAGUUUCUCAUAUCACUUUGUGUCGUAAAAUGCAAAUGAAACCCCAAAGUUUAAUUUGAUUAAAUCCUUGAAAUAUCUAAAAGCUGAGGUACUAAAGAUGUGGAGGCAGGUAUGAACUUUGGGAACUCUAUCUGAGAUUGCUUACAAAAUUCAGCAAGCUCAAUGUUUUAAAUUCCCAAUCUGAAAAGUUGAUAGACUUCAUACUACAUUCAUUCUCAUUUGAAUGAUACGAGUACUAUUAGUAAUUUAAAAUGUUGAUGAUUGCAUUUCCCUGUGGCAAGAUAUGUGUUACAUCUUUGCAUUAAAUACUGUAACUGCUAAAACUGCUUAAAGCCAUUAGUGUUUGUAUUUAUUUGAGGCUUUAUUGAUUUGAUUUUUUUUGAAACGCAGGGUUCCAACAUUAAUAUAUGGAACUGAGCUCAAAAUUAUGGUUGUAUUCAAGGAAAUAAAAUUAAUGUGUAAACCUCCACUGCAUUGCAGUUACCUUUUGCAUAGUUAUUAGGUGCUUAUGUGCUGAGAAUGAGAAUACAUAUAUGGUUUUAACAAAUUGAUUUGCUCAAGAUUAUCACUCACUCGCACUGACAUGCCUGAGUUUUUCCAUCUAAAAUAUUUCAAAUAAAAUUUUUGUUUAAAGUGAUUUGAAUACUUGGUAACUUGGUAAUAAAAUUGAACUCUGACAAUAUAUAUUCCCAUUAUAAGUGUUUGAAGUUCUGUAACCCAGGCCACUUAGAAAAUUCAAAUUCUGGACCUGAAGUAAUUUAGUUGGAUAGGUUCAAUUCAUAGUAAACUGUUUUUAAUGUCAAUUUGAAAAUCUCAAUUUUGCAUCAUUUUCUGCGAUGCCAGAGCAGCCCUUAGUGUCAACAUUUGGUUCAGGCAGUGCAGCUACCCAUAUGGGCUUUGGGUUUAAAUUUGCAAAUCCAAGUUCAGUGCUGGUUGAGGCCCCAAGUGUAGAAUUAAAAUAUAAAUGGGUAGAGACUGUAAACUGCAUGAUCUGCCCAGUUGUAUUAGUUUUGAGCAGCGUAUCUUUAAGGGGACAGUUAAGAUUGCACUGAAGAAUGACCCAAGAAGUAGAUUUUUUUUUAUUGGAAAAGCAAGAAUGGCCCUCGUUGCUCUGAAAACUACAGCUUUCUGGCACAUUUCAGGACCUAUUUUCCUUCCCCACCCUUCCAGGCUCAAUCUAUGAGCAGGGAAGCUCUAAUUUCCUAAACUUCCCAAAGAGAUAAACCACAGAGUACCCAUUUGCUGCUUUGAGCUCAUGGCAGCAUUUAAACAAAGCCUGAAGCUGAAUUUAGUUUAGGUUUUGGAUCAGGACAGUGUAGCAUUGCUCGACUGACUUUGCUGCAAUUUUGGGUGCACACUUAAUUGCUUCAUUUUUGUUCUUUACCAGUUGGUUAGCAGAUGUCUGGUGUUCUGAUUUGUAUUUUUAAUUUCUGUAUUUUGGUUGGGGAAUGGGUGAAAGUUGGUGUUGAAUUUAUUACUUUGUUGUUUUCAUGUUACAGAAACUGUGGAGGUGAAAUGUCAGCAUUGUUGCACAUGAAUAGUAUUUCUCAUGGUUGUGGGACUACUUUGUGCAUUACACUAGAUUGGAGUGACUCAGGAACUGAUUAGUACGUCUGAUUGUUUCAUUUAUGAUCUCGUGCUCAAAUUCAAAUGAAUAAAAGUUGAAAAUGGUGCUUGCAAAAAUGUACCUAGUGAGUCUAGAGACCCAAUUCACUGUAUAAAGUGGCCCCAAAACCUGCCCAAAUGUAUAAUUUGCAUUUUUCAUCAACGUUUUAGGUAAAAUGCACAAUGUGCCAAUACUUGGCCAUAUUUUUAACUUGCAUAGUUUUCUUAAGAUUAUAAUACUUUAUGAUGGGGACCUACUAAAGCUGAGUUGUCUCCUCAAUUGAACCUGUUCUACUUUUGCAUAUAGAAAUAAAGCUGUAAUUUGGAAACUGGCUGAGUAGAAUUGGAUCAAUUUGCUGUUGUCCAACUGAACCAAAUAUCAAAUGAUAUACAAAUUCCUAAACAGAAUUAUAUUGAAUAGUGAUGGGAGAAACAGAAUGGUUCUUAGUAUUGAAGGUGUAUACUGUCUGAAAAUUUCUAUUUAAUACUUUGUCACAUGUCUGCAUUAAUUCAGUGCUUUUUGGACCUUUUGACAGUACUACUUUAUAUGGUAGGUCCAUGGGGAAGGUUUCAUUUAUUUGAAAAUGCAAAGAAACAUUUUUAAAUGUACUCUUGCAGGACUUUCAAAAGUAAUUCAAAAUAGAAUGUUAAUAUCCCAUUUUCCUUCAGGUAACUAGUUUAAAGAAUUCUGGUUUAGUUAUGAUUUACUUUGGAACCUUGUUAUAAACUACUGGGGACCGGCAACACUUUUAACUAGGUUUCAAAGUACUGGUACUGUUUAACUUGUUUUACAUGUUUUAGUUCUGUUUGCUAUGAAUGCAUAAACCAAAAGCAGCUCAAGUUUUAGUGGCAAGUUUACGAAAAGUGGUGAGGUGUGUAGCAAUCCCCAAUGUUGAGAGUGAUCUUUAUGUAGGUAUUUCUUAGUUUCAAGACAGCUGCAGUGAAAGUUAGUUGUAUACCUCGCGUCAUGAAGGGGCUCAACAGUGUAAUUUUUUUAAGCUACGAGCAACACUAAUGAACUUUGUACGUGUGGUAUGAAUUUUUAUACAAUUGUGUAGUCUUGCCUUCCAUAACUAAGUUUGGAUUUUGCUAAUAGAAUUUCUGUACAGUGUAGAUUGGGUAUUGUCUUAUUCUGUUUGAAACUAGUGCAGUUUAAUGUUCAAGAAAGCUUCUGACUGUGUUUAAAAAAAGAUAAAAUAGUUUUCAUUCAUUAAAAAUGAAAUGCAGUGCCACAGUUAAAGCAGGAGAAGUUUUACUUUUAUUGAAAACAAAAACUUGGGGGUAGUGCGAGUUUUUCUCUUUAAAAAAAAAGUUGGAGCUUCUGUUACAUUUUAGUUACCCCUGCAGCUUCUUCCAUCUGAGGAAUACUUUAAAAUAAAUCCCAUCUUGUAUCUGUGAAGUUGUUGUCUUGCAAGACUGUGAUAUUGCCAGGGCCAGAAUGAGUAUUUUAACUUUAUCUAGAAUUUUGAUUUUCAAUUUUUGCCUUUCAAGCUUGUAUGUUAAUAGAAAUUGAAGCACCACAUUCCAAAUGUUUGUAGAAGUGCAGGCACUUACUAAUAUAACAAAAUAGCAGCAAACACUCUUGUGAUUUUAGGUCUUGAAAUCCAUGCCACUACUACAUUCUAACAACAGCAAACUAUAUGAAUACUGUCCGAUUGUCAACAUAAAUUUGUGAUCAGAUUGCCCAUCUUUUAACAACAUGAUUUUUAAAGACUGAAGCUAUCAUGAAAAUACUUAACAAUUUCCAACUGAAAUGCAAUGUGUUGUACAGCAGUAUGUUUUCUUUAUUUAUUCUUGAGUAUGGUUUGUACCAUGUACAAUGGCUUUGUUUUCAUGAAUAAAAAAAAUUGUAUAACACAUUGUGUUUUUAUUCAGUUAUGUAUUGUAUUUUUAUUUCCUAUGAAUGACAAAAGGUUACAGAUGAUAUGGAACCUGACCAAAAUUAAACUCUUUACAGGAACA